AUAAUCCUGUAGUCGAAAAUGUUGUCUCUCUUGAGUGGAUCCUGAGUACGACGGAGCACGUGAAAUUCCGUCGGAAUCUGGGAGGACCAUCUCCUAAGGCUAAAUACUCUCUAGUGACCGAUAGUGAACCAGUACCGUGAGGGAAAGGUGAAAAGCACCCCGGAAGGGGAGUGAAAUAGAACCUGAAACCGUGUGCUUACAAGUAGUCAGAGCCCGUUAAUGGGUGAUGGCGUGCCUUUUGUAGAAUGAACCGGCGAGUUACGAUUUGAUGCAAGGUUAAGUAGUAAAUGUGGAGCCGUAGCGAAAGCGAGUCUGAAUAGGGCGUUUAGUAUUUGGUCGUAGACCCGAAACCAGGUGAUCUACCCUUGGUCAGGUUGAAGUUCAGGUAACACUGAAUGGAGGACCGAACCGACUUACGUUGAAAAGUGAGCGGAUGAACUGAGGGUAGCGGAGAAAUUCCAAUCGAACCUGGAGAUAGCUGGUUCUCUCCGAAAUAGCUUUAGGGCUAGCCUCAAGUGAUGAUUAUUGGAGGUAGAGCACUGUUUGGACGAGGGGCCCCUCUCGGGUUACCGAAUUCAGACAAACUCCGAAUGCCAAUUAAUUUAACUUGGGAGUCAGAACAUGGGUGAUAAGGUCCGUGUUCGAAAGGGAAACAGCCCAGACCACCAGCUAAGGUCCCAAAAUAUAUGUUAAGUGGAAAAGGAUGUGGCGUUGCCCAGACAACUAGGAUGUUGGCUUAGAAGCAGCCAUCAUUUAAAGAGUGCGUAAUAGCUCACUAGUCGAGUGACACUGCGCCGAAAAUGUACCGGGGCUAAACAUA
rnacentral:rRNA from 1 species